AUUGAACGCUGGCGGCAUGCUUUACACAUGCAAGUCGAGCGGCAGCGCGGGGGCAACCCUGGCGGCGAGCGGCGAACGGGUGAGGAAUACAUCGGAACGUACCCGAGAGUGGGGGAUAACGCCGCGAAAGCGGCGCUAAUACCGCAUAUUCUCCGAGGAGGAAAGUGGGGGACCGCAAGGCCUCACGCUCACGGAGCGGCCGAUGUCGGAUUAGCUAGUUGUGGGUAAAGCCACAAGGCGACGAUCCGUAGCUGGUCUGAGAGGAUGAUCAGCCACACUGGGACUGAGACACGGCCCAGACUCCUAC
rnacentral:rRNA from 1 species